UACGUAGGGCGCAAGCGUUGUCCGGAAUUAUUGGGCGUAAAGAGCGUGUAGGCGGCCAGGUAGGUCUGCUGUGAAAACUCGAGGCUCAACCUCGAGACGUCGGCGGAAACCAUCUGGCUAGAGUCCGGAAGAGGAGAGUGGAAUUCCUGGUGUAGCGGUGAAAUGCGCAGAUAUCAGGAAGAACACCCGUGGCGAAGGCGGCUCUCUGGGACGGUACUGACGCUGAGACGCGAAAGCGUGGGGAGCAAACGGG
rnacentral:rRNA from 1 species